AGCGAACGCUGGCGGCAGGCUUAACACAUGCAAGUCGAGCGGGCACCUUCGGGUGUCGGCGGCAGACGGGUGAGUAACACGUGGGAACGUACCCUUCGGUUCGGAAUAACGCUGGGAAACUAGCGCUAAUACCGGAUACGCCCUUAUGGGGAAAGGUUUACUGCCGAAGGAUCGGCCCGCGUCUGAUUAGCUAGUUGGUGGGGUAACGGCCUACCAAGGCGACGAUCAGUAGCUGGUCUGAGAGGAUGAUCAGCCACACUGGGACUGAGACACGGCCCAGACUCCUACGGGAGGCAGCAGUGGGGAAUAUUGGACAAUGGGCGCAAGCCUGAUCCAGCCAUGCCGCGUGAGUGAUGAAGGCCUUAGGGUUGUAAAGCUCUUUUGUCCGGGACGAUAAUGACGGUACCGGAAGAAUAAGCCCCGGCUAACUUCGUG
rnacentral:rRNA from 1 species